rnacentral:rRNA from 1 species
GUGAGGAAUUUUCCGCAAUGGGCGAAAGCCUGACGGAGCAAUUCCGCGUGAAGGAUGAUGGCCUAUGGGUUGUAAACUUCUUUUCUCAGAAAAGAAUUAUGACGGUAUCUGAGGAAUAAGCAUCGGCUAACUCUGUGCCAGCAGCCGCGGUAAGACAGAGGAUGCAAGCGUUAUCCGGAAUGAUUGGGCGUAAAGCGUCUGUAGGUUGUUUAAAAAGUAUUCUGUCAAAGAUUAGGGCUUAACCCUAGAUAGGCAGAAUAAACUUUUAAGCUAGAGUGUGGUAGAGGCAGAGGGAAUUCCCGGGGGAGCGGUGCAAUGCGUAGAUAUCGGGAGGAACACCAAAGGCGAAGGCACUCUGCUGGGCCAAUACUAACACUGAGAGACGAAAGCGAGGGGAGCAAAUGGGAUUAGAUACCCGGGUAGUCC